rnacentral:rRNA from 1 species
GAUGAACGCUGGCGGCAGGCUUAACACAUGCAAGUCGAGCGGGGUGAUGGUGCUUGCACUAUCACUUAGCGGCGGACGGGUGAGUAAUGCUUAGGAAUCUGCCUAUUAGUGGGGGACAACAUCUCGAAAGGGAUGCUAAUACCGCAUACGUCCUACGGGAGAAAGCAGGGGAUCACUUGUGACCUUGCGCUAAUAGAUGAGCCUAAGUCGGAUUAGCUAGUUGGUGGGGUAAAGGCCUACCAAGGCGACGAUCUGUAGCGGGUCUGAGAGGAUGAUCCGCCACACUGAGACUGAGACACGGCCCAGAUUCCUACGGGAGGUAGCAGUGGGGAAUAUUGGACAAUGGGGGGAACCCUGAUCCAGCCAUGCCGCGUGUGUGAAGAAGGCCUUAUGGUUGUAAAGCACUUUAAGCGAGGAGGAGGCUCUUUUGGUUAAUACCCAAGAUGAGUGGACGUUACUCGCAGAAUAAGCACCGGCUAACUCUGUGCCAGCCGCCGCAGUAA